rnacentral:rRNA from 1 species
AUUGAACGCUGGCGGCAGGCUUAACACAUGCAAGUCGAGCGGAGCGAGGGUGCUUGCACCUUAGCUUAGCGGCGGACGGGUGAGUAAUGCUUAGGAAUCUGCCUAUUAGUGGGGGACAACAUUCCGAAAGGGAUGCUAAUACCGCAUACGCCCUACGGGGGAAAGCAGGGGAUCUUCGGACCUUGCGCUAAUAGAUGAGCCUAAGUCGGAUUAGCUAGUUGGGGGGGUAAAGGCCUACCAAGGCGACGAUCUGUAGCGGGUCUGAGAGGAUGAUCCGCCACACUGGGACUGAGACACGGCCCAGACUCCUACGGGAGGCAGCAGUGGGGAAUAUUGGACAAUGGGCGGAAGCCUGAUCCAGCCAUGCCGCGUGUGUGAAGAAGGCCUUUUGGUUGUAAAGCACUUUAAGCGAGGAGGAGGCUGCUAGUAUUAAUACUACUGGAUAGUGGACGUUACUCGCAGAAUAAGCACCGGCUAACUCUGUGCCAGCAGCCGCCGUAAGAC